rnacentral:miRNA from 1 species
CAUUGACUUCUCGUGACCAUUCA